rnacentral:misc_RNA from 1 species
AAGUCGUAACAAGGUUUCCGUAGGUGAACCUGCGGAAGGAUCAUUAAUACGCUUUUGUUUGUAACAAAACAAAACGUUUUAAACCCCAAAAUUUGAAUAGUGGAAACAUAUCUUCCGGGUGCGAAUGUUGGGGAACUUGAGUAAAAUCGGUUCUUUGAAAAAGGGACUUCAAGCAAUUGACACUUCAGAGUAGAGCAGUGAGGUGAAAUUCUCUUUUCGGAGAGAGUUUGGUUCUGAAAAACAUUUGUAUCCGGUUAUCAUAAUCUGUUCUACAAACUCCAAAAUAUCAAACAAUAAACCCCAUGUACAACAACUUGAACUAAACAUUUUUUUGUUGUCUCUUCUUGCACUUGUGUGAGAAGAUGAUACAAAGAAAAACCUGAACUUAAGAACAACUCUUAACAACGGAUAUCUUGGUUCUC